UUUAUCCUAAACAUCCUAUUAAGUUUUUAUGCUGAAACAAAGCUCAAAGCUCAGAGCUAAGGCGCUUAUCUUCUUUGAUAUUGCAUGGAGUAUGCUUCUACUUCUCUAGGAGAUGCGUUUUAUGGAAAUAUCAAAGAAGAUAAGCGCCUUAGUUCUGAAGAUAAGCGCCUUAUUCACAAAAUGCAUAAGGUUGUAUUCUUUGUUAGGU